UACGUAGGGGCCAAGCGUUGUCCGGAUUUAUUGGGCGUAAAGAGCUCGUAGGUGGUUUGUCGCGUUGUCCGUGAAAACUCACAACUCAAUUGUGGGCGUGCGGGCGAUACGGGCAGACUGGAGUACUGCAGGGGAGACUGGAAUUCCUGGUGUAGCGGUGGAAUGCGCAGAUAUCAGGAGGAACACCGGUGGCGAAGGCGGGUCUCUGGGCAGUAACUGACGCUGAGGAGCGAAAGCGUGGGGAGCGAACAGG
rnacentral:rRNA from 1 species